CUCCAAAGAUAAUUCACAUGAGAAAGCCACUUAGUUGUAAAAAGCUGGCCAUACAAAUGUACAUGAUAAAAACCUGAAACACCCGUAUUAAAAUGAUGCAUCAGGUUCUGCUAGUACUAUUAGUAAAAAAAAAUAGCUUAAAAAAAAGAAUGUCUUGACCACAAUAAUUAGUUUGUAAUGACAAUAACAGUAUUUAAUAGAUGCUUGAUAUUUGAUGUUAUAAAUCAUAUCAGAGGUAGAAUUCUUUUCUUUUAGCUCAAAACAACCAACAAUAUUAAAAUCAACAAAGUGAGAAAACUUUUAGUUAGUUCGUUGUUUUGGUAACAUUUUCUUUCUAAAUAUCAAGAUACUUUUGAAAAAUAAAACCAUGAUGCUUAAAAAUUAUAUUUUAUUAUAAAGCAUGAUGUCAUAGUGAUUUAACUUAGAUAACAAAUUGUGAUACAUGGUAUUAUCUUUAGACAUAACAGAAAAUUAGAAGGUUAUAUAUAUAAAAAGGAAUUAAAGCAACAAAAUACUUGUACAAUGAGCUGAUACCUGUACAUAACAGGAUUCAGUCCCUUUGUUAAGAUUAUUUUAUUUAUUGUCCUCUCUUGAGAUUCAUUAGUCUCAAAUGAUAUCAAAAAUAUUUCUUGUAGUUGGUAACAGAGCAUCAUUGUUAUUAUGUUCAAUUGGCAAGAGUGUCCUGAAAGAUAUAGAGGCUUGAACAUGAGCCAUGAAGGGGAGGACUUGUUGGCGUUCACAUGUCAAAUAGCUAAUGGAUUUACAACCAUAUUUGCUGGUGAACUGAUUGACAAGUUUGGACAUUUCAAAAUAUGACAUUUCAAAACCCAUCCAUGCCCUGCCUCGUGGUGCGGGUUUAAAAUUUUGCCCCAUCCCCGCCCCGCUUAACCCGCACGGGGCAAAGCGGGGAGGGGCGGGUUAAGCGGGAUGGAGAAAAAUUGCCAUUCCCACUUGCAAGUCUCACUUUCAAAUGCAUUACUCAUUAGUAAACCUUUUUGGAAAUUUGUUAAGGUAGUACAAAAAACGAAGAUUAAAGACAAAGAUGUAAACCAAACAGCAUGUUGUUUGCCUGUAUUGCCAUUAUUUUUGCUUGGAUCUUUAUCUUUAUUCUUGGAGAUGGACUGGGCCAACUUAGAUGUUUUCCUUCUCAUCAAUAUAGAUGCUUAUCUAGCAAAAACUGACAUGGAUCUCACCCAUCUUUUUUUAAGGAUGAGCUUAAUUUUGUGCACGGUUAA